GACGAACGCUGGCGGCGUGCUUAACACAUGCAAGUCGAACGGAAAGGCCCUGCUUUUGUGGGGUUCUCGAGUGGCGAACGGGUGAGUAACACGUGAGUAACCUGCCCUUGACUUUGGGAUAACUUUAGGAAACUGGGGCUAAUACCGGAUAUGAGCUCCUGCUGCAUGGUGGGGGUUGGAAAGUUUCGGCGGUUGGGGAUGGACUCGCGGCUUAUCAGCUUGUUUGUGGGGUAGUGGCUUACCAAGGCUUUGACGGGUAGCCGGCCUGAGAGGGGUACCGGCCACCUUGGGACUGAGAUACGGCCCAGACUCCUACGGGAGGCAGCAGUGGGGAAUAUUGCACAAUGGGCGGAAGCCUGAUGAAGCAACGCCGCGUGCGGGAUGACGGCCUUCGGGUUGUAAACCGCUUUCGCCUGUGACGAAGCGUGAGUGACGGUAAUGAGUAAAGAAGCACCGGCUAACUACGUG
rnacentral:rRNA from 1 species